GUGUGCAGGCAUAUCAGAACCUAAUAGAGUCUGAUAUGGCUGUACAUGGUGGUGUUAAGUACCUCAUAUGGCCUAGUAUGCCUGUACUGAGUGGUGAUGAGAACCUUAUAGGGUCUGAUAUGGAUGUACAUGGUGGUGUUUAGUACCUCAUAUGGUCUAGUAUGCCUGUACUGAGUGGUGGUGAGAACCUAAUAGGGUCUGAUAUGCCUGCACAUGAUGAUGUUAAGUACCUCAUAGGGUCUGAUAUGGCUGUACAUGGUGGUAUUAAGUACCUCAUGUGGUCUAGUAUGUCUGUACUAUGUGGUGGUGAGAACCUUAUAGGGUCUGAUUUGGUUGUACAUGGUGGUGUUAAGUACCUCAUAGGGUCUAAUAUCUGUACUGAGUGGUGGUGAGAAUCUUAAAGGGUCUGAUAUGGCUGGACAGGGUGGUGUUAAGUACCCCAUAGGGUCUACUGUGUGUGUACUAAGUGGUAGUGAGUACCUAAUAGGGUCUGAUAUGGCUGGACAUGGUGGUACUGAGUACCUCAUAUGGACUGGUAUGUGUAUUGAGUGGUAGUGAGUACCUAAUAGGGUCUGAUAUGGCUGGACAUUGGUGGUGAUGAGUACCUCAUAUGGACUAGUAUGUCUGUAUUUAGUAAUGAUGAGUACCUAAUAGGGCCUGUUCAGCCAUAUCAGACCUGUGAUGGCUCAAGCAUGAUGGUGAUGAGUACCUCAUAGGAACUGGUAUGUCUGUAUUAGUGAUGGUCAGUGCCCAACAUGGCUUGUUGUGGCUGUUCCUAGUGGUGGUGAGAACUUAAUUGGGCAUGAGAUGGCUGAACAUGGUGGU
rnacentral:sRNA from 1 species